CCUACGGGGGGCAGCAGUGGGGAAUAUUGGGCAAUGGGCGCAAGCCUGACCCAGCAACGCCGCGUGAAGGAAGAAGGCUUUCGGGUUGUAAACUUCUUUUAAGAGGGAAGAGAAGAAGACGGUACCUCUUGAAUAAGCCACGGCUAACUACGUGCCAGCAGCCGCGGUAAUACGGAGGAUGCGAGCGUUAUCCGGAUUUAUUGGGUUUAAAGGGUGCGUAGGCGGGCUUUUAAGUCAGCGGUAAAAAUUCGGGGCUCAACCCCGUCCGGCCGUUGAAACUGGGGGCCUUGAGUGGGCGAGAAGAA
rnacentral:rRNA from 1 species